rnacentral:rRNA from 1 species
CUGAAAUUACGCCUUCCAUGAAGCUGGAAUUGCUAGUAAUGGCAGGUCAGCAUACCGCCGUGAAUACGUUCCCGGGCCUUGUACACACCGCCCGUCACACCAUGAGAGUUGGGAAUACCCGAAGCCUGUGAGCUAACUUAUAGAGGCAGCAGUCGAAGGUAGAAUCAAUGAUUGGGGUGAAGUCGUAACAAGGUAGC